rnacentral:lncRNA from 1 species
UUUUUGGCGCGUUGGUUUUCGUUUUUGAAAUAAAUUCACCUUUGUAACAACCAAUUUCCUUCUUUGACUGUCUUGGUUAUCUAAAUUUUUUUUACUUUUUGAUAAUGACAAAACGGGGAGUAGUUACGCAUUAAUUGAAAGUUGAUAAGUUUCAAAAAGCUGAAACCACUUUUCUUUGUUAAGUUAUUAAAAGUUAUCUUUUAUUUGUUUUACGUAUUUCAAUGCGGAGAUUAAGUAAUUUAAAACUGAAAUUAAAUUUCAUAAGUAAGGAUAAGUUAAAAGUGCAAUUUUAACUUAGCCUUAUGAGACUCAGGGGGAAAGCUUGCAAACCUCUCGCUCUGAAGAAAGAUAUGAAAUUUGUUUUACUUUAAAUACUUAAGUCUUAUACUAAAUUAAAUUUUCAUGGAUAAAACUUAAAGCUUAGGCUUUAUGGAGNNNNNNNNNNNNNNNNNNNNNNNNNNNNNNNAGUUAAUUUAACAACAAUUGUCAAUUAAUACUUAUGUUUGUCAUCAUCAAAAAGGGGGAGAUUGUUGGAACAAAAUUGAUUUAAAAAUGUUUGCCCCUAAAUCUAUUAAGGUUUUAAUGAUAACAAAGUAUUAAUAAACAAUUGGAAGGACUAAAAAUUUAAUUUAAGUGUGCAGAUAUUAGCUUCAGAUAAGCUCUGAGUGAAGCUCAUAAGAUAUGUAUUCAGAAGUUUACAAGCGCUCAGAAGAUGUUGAACUUCAGAAGUUACAACCUUCAGAUGAUGAAGUCGUCAGAACUUCUUAAGUGACUAAAGCUUCAUCAACCUCUGAAGAUCUUCUUGAAGUCUGUGAAGAUUCUCUUUUGCAAGUCAACUCUUCUACCAAUGAUGAAAAGGACCUUUCAAGCUUGAUCAGAACAGCUACUCUCAUUUUGUCUGUCCACUCUUGAGAACGUGGGACAUCAGACUUGUUAGCUGAAUAAGGAAAGUCUUCUCUGCACAUGGUCAAAGUGUCUGAAACUCUUACUCAGUUUUAGAAACAACCAAACUGCAUCAAGACAAGUUGCUUGAAGACAAAAGGCUAUCUACUUCAACGGUCAUUUCUGCAAUGACU